rnacentral:rRNA from 1 species
AGGGUGAACGCUGGGCGGCGUGCCUAACACAUGCAAGUCGAGCGGUGCAGUUUGAAGCUUCGGUGGAAAGCUGCAUAGCGGCGGACGGGUGAGGAAGACGUAGGAACGUGCCCCUUGGAGUUGGAUAGCCACGGGAAACUGUGGGUAAACCGACAUAGACUCGAGAGAGUAAAGGCCGAAAGGCGCCAAGGGAGCGGCCUGCGGCCCAUCAGGUAGUUGGUAGUGUAAAGGACUACCAAGCCGACGACGGGUAGCCGGUCUGAGAGGAUGGCCGGCCACAAGGGCACUGAGAGACGGGCCCUACUCCUACGGGAGGCAGCAGUGGGGGAUUUUGGACAAUGGGCGAAAGCCUGAUCCAGCGACGCCGCGUGGAGGACGAAGCCCUUCGGGGUGUAAACUCCUUUUCUCAGGGAAAAAGGAUGAUGGUACCUGAGGAAUAAGCCCCGGCUAACUACGUG